rnacentral:rRNA from 1 species
UGAGGAAUAUUGGUCAAUGGGCGAGAGCCUGAACCAGCCAAGUAGCGUGCAGGAUGACGGCCCUAUGGGUUGAAAACUGCUUUUAUAUGGGAAUAAAGUGAGGGACGUGUCCCUUAUUGCAUGUACCAUACGAAUAAGGACCGGCUAAUUCCGUGCCAGCAGCCGCGGUAAUACGGAAGGUCCAGGCGUUAUCCGGAUUUAUUGGGUUUAAAGGGAGCGUAGGCUGUUUGUUAAGCGUGUUGUGAAAUGUAAGAGCUCAACUUUUAGAUUGCAGCGCGAACUGGCAGACUUGAGUGCGCACAACGUAGGCGGAAUUCAUGGUGUAGCGGUGAAAUGCUUAGAUAUCAUGACGAACUCCGAUUGCGAAGGCAGCUUACGGGAGCGCAACUGACGCUAAAGCUCGAAGGUGCGGGUAUCGAACAGG